UAAUACGGAGGGUGCGAGCGUUAAUCGGAAUUACUGGGCGUAAAGAGUACGUAGGAGGCAAUACAAGUUGGGUGUGAAAGCCCCGGGCUUAACCUGGGAAUUGCACUCAAAACUGUAUAGCUAGAGUCUUGCAGAGGAAAGCGGAAUUCCGGGUGUAGCGGUGAAAUGCGUAGAGAUCCGGAAGAACAUCAGUGGCGAAGGCGGCUUUCUGGGCAGAGACUGACUCUGAGGUACGAAAGCGUGGGGAGCAAACAGGAUUAGAUACCCUGGUAGUCCACGCCGUAAACGAUGUCAACUUGCCGUUAUGUCAAUUUGUGACUUAGUGGCGUAGCUAACGCGAUAAGUUGACCGCCUGGGGAGUACGACCGCAAGGUUG
rnacentral:rRNA from 1 species